UGGUGGUCCCAGGUGUGAUGUGUGUUACAUUAUAUUCUCAUGGUAUUGUUCAUUAAAAAAACAGGUGGUAACUUUUGUUUCUAUGUUUAUGUGCUACAGCCUCGGCUCUAUGUUGGCAGGGGAAUGCAUGAAAGUACCUUUUCUCUCUUCAAGUAUACAUUAUUCUGGGUGCUCCUUACCAUUACAAAGUUAGCUUUCAGUUUCUAUAUCGAGGGAUGUUACUUUCAAAAAGGGAGGAAGAUCAAGAUGAAGAUGAGCGCGAAGGAAGCCUUUGAGAGGUCGAUGAGGACUUUGUCGGAGUGGAUAAGCCAGGAAGUGAAUCGAAAUAUGUAAUGAUCUUAGAUACUUGAUACUUGGUUCAUUCGGAUGAUAAUGUACGAAUAUUUUGGAUAAUAUAUAAUAUUGUUAUUGUUGAUUUUA